GACGUAGGGCGCAAGCGUUGUCCGGAUUUAUUGGGCGUAAAGAGCUCGUAGGCGGCUUGUUGCGUCGGAUGUGAAAACCCAGGGCUCAACCCUGGGCCUGCAUUCGAUACGGGCAGACUAGAGUUCGGUAGGGGAGACUGGAAUUCCUGGUGUAGCGGUGAAAUGCGCAGAUAUCAGGAGGAACACCGAUGGCGAAGGCAGGUCUCUGGGCUGACACUGACGCUCAUGCACGAAAGCGUGGGGAGCAAACAGG
rnacentral:rRNA from 1 species